rnacentral:rRNA from 1 species
GACGAACGCUGGCGGCGUGCCUAAUACAUGCAAGUAGAACGCUGAAGAGAGGAGCUUGCUCUUCUUGGAUGAGUUGCGAACGGGUGAGUAACGCGUAGGUAACCUGCCUGGUAGCGGGGGAUAACUAUUGGAAACGAUAGCUAAUACCGCAUGAAAUGGAUUAUCGCAUGAUAAUUCAUUGAAAGGUGCAAAUGCAUCACUACCAGAUGGACCUGCGUUGUAUUAGCUAGUUGGUGGGGUAACGGCUCACCAAGGCGACGAUACAUAGCCGACCUGAGAGGGUGAUCGGCCACACUGGGACUGAGACACGGCCCAGACUCCUACGGGAGGCAGCAGUAGGGAAUCUUCGGCAAUGGACGGAAGUCUGACCGAGCAACGCCGCGUGAGUGAAGAAGGUUUUCGGAUCGUAAAGCUCUGUUGUAAGAGAAGAACGAGUGUGAGAGUGGAAAGUUCACACUGUGACGGUAUCUACCA